UGGAGGGCAAGUCUGGUGCCAGCAGCCGCGGUAAUUCCAGCUCCAAUAGCGUAUAUUAAAGUUGUUGCAGUUAAAAAGCUCGUAGUUGAAUUUCGGGGUCAGCAGGUUGGUCGUGCCAAUGGUAUGAACUGGCCUUGCUGAUUCCUCCCUCUUGAUGAGCCGUAAUGCCAUUAAUUUGGUGUUGCGGGGAAUCAGGACUGUUACUUUGAAAAAAUUAGAGUGUUUAAAGCAGGCAAGCGCUUGAAUACAUUAGCAUGGAAUAAUGAAAUAGGACGUUUGAUCCUAUUUUGUUGGUUUCUAGGAUUGACGUAAUGAUUAAUAGGGAUAGUUGGGGGCAUUAGUAUUCAAUUGUCAGAGGUGAAAUUCUUGGAUUUAUUGAAGACUGACUACUGCGAAAGCAUUUGCCAAGGAUGUUUUCAUUAAUCAAGAACGAAAGUUAGGGGAUCGAAGACGAUCAGAUACCGUCGUAGUCUUAACCAUAAACUAUGCCGACUAGGGAUCGGAUGAUGUUAAUUUUUUAAUGACUCAUUCGGCGCCUUACGGGAAAC
rnacentral:rRNA from 1 species